GGCGGAAGAGAGCAGGGCCCUGGGCAGGUGCUGAGCCAGGUCCUGCAGGUCACCCAGUCGCUUGAGUCCACGAAUGCUGGAGGCAGGCACUGGAGAGCCAGGGUGGUUCAGCCGCAGCUCCUCUGAGCAGGGAGUCAAACAGGGCUGAAACAGACACCAGCUCUCCAGGACCAGCUGCUCCAGGAAUCAACCUCUACCCUGAACCAGGUCCCUGAGGACCACCACGUGGCUGCAACACAGCAGGUGUGGGGCAGGGCACAAGUGGGCUUAAGGGGGGUAUAAGGGCUGGCAGUUUGCUCAUUGAUUCACUCAACAAACAUGUACUGAGCACCUCUAAAGGGCCAGGGCCUGUGCUAGGCACUGCGGUGCCAUGGUGAGCAAAUCCAGAAAUGGACCCUGCCCUCUAGGAGUUCACAGUCCAGAGGAGAAGCCCGAUGCUGAACAGAGAAUCACAUCCGUGAGCAACACAAAAGGAGCCUGGACCUGUGGCCUUCCCUGCCUCCACCUGGGCCUCAACCGUCACGACCACCUGGCCUUUGAGAAAUCAAAUGGCUCACGCUGUGUCUCAGAGCUGCAACGAUCCAACGCCCUCCAUCCUUCAGAGGCUGUCUGAGUCCGGGGACACAACUCCCACCCUCCUCUCCUGCCAGCCGCGGCCCGUGGCUGCUCUCUUCACUUCGUCCCGCUUCGCCCCGACUGUGGAUCUACCCGCUCCCUUCUCCCUCAGUCCCCAAAGCACCAGACUCACAGGCCUGCUGUGUGACCCACUUUUACCGACCUUUCGGGGAGAGUAGAGGGCAUUUGUGACUCAGCUCAGAGCAGGAAACACAUCUCACGUCAACUGUCAGACAGCGCUGCUCCGAAUCCCAUCACAGUGCUCCAGCAGGGGGCGUCCUCACCGGCCGCGGCCACAGCCACGGCUCAACCCGGCCUAGCUCCCAGACACCCUCCUUCCACCGCCUGUUUUCCACCGUCCCCGCCUGCUCUUUCAAGCCAGCAGCAAACAACACCCUAAUCCGUGUCUUUAUUAUUCAAAGACCUUAAGCACUCUUUCCCACCUCGUUCCCAUCUUGAUUAUUUCAGGGAAUGAAUUAGGGAUUCACCUUUACAAUCAAAAAAGUUCUCUCAAAGCCAGGCUACUGGAGUUCUAAUUCUGCCUUCCCACUUUUACUAGCUGUGAAAUCUCAGGAAAGUUACUUAACCUCUCUCUGUCUCAUUUUCCUCAUCUUUAAAAAACAGGAUGAUAAUAUUUAGCUCCUAAGAUGGUUGUGAGGAUUUAAGUGAGCUGAUAUAUCCAAGAAUGUCUAGAACAGCGCGUGGCAGAAUGGGCAUUGCAUAUGGGUUUAAUCUUGUAACUGCCAUGUUUCACCAAUUCUAAGGUGUAUCUCGUUUCUCAUCAUAAGAGCUCUUCCGCUCGUGUGGCAGCUGGGAGUGGCCGUCAUUGCCUGCGCAUACCUAAACUUGGUCAGCAGCCAAGUGUUUUGUGAGACCUAAGAAAGGAAGAGCCCCAUAAGUAAAUGGAACUGUUGUGUUGUUUUAUUACCGAGAAAAGGGCAGAAUGAUUGCUAGUCACACGUGAAGCAAGAAAACCCCGGCAAUAAAGCUUGCAGAAUGAGUGGCUGAGGCUUGAAAAUAAAUGGUGGAAACAAUAGUGGACAAUCUUUUAAAGAAUGGCACAUUGCCAAUGCUCCUGAUGGCACAGAAGGUGACACCAUGCAGAAAAUCAAGGCUCUGAGUCAAAGAGGGUUUCAGAAAAAUUGGACUCUGAAUGUGAAGAAAUCUGGGGACUAUUUUAGCCAAUUUGUUUUGCCUAUAAUUUCCUUUUAUGCAUGCAAAAGAGCAAUUCUGACUUUAAAGACUGAUAUCUAAAUAAAUCUAAAAUAUCUUUUUUGUGUGUGUGUCUGUGAUACAGUGUCUCGCCCUUUCACCCAGGCUGGAGUGCAGUAGUGCAAUCUCAGCUCACU
rnacentral:lncRNA from 10 species